UACGUAGGGGGCAAGCGUUGUCCGGAAUCAUUGGGCGUAAAGAGCGCGUAGGCGGCCCUGUAAGUCCGCUGUGAAAGUCAAGGGCUCAACCCUUGGAUGCCGGUGGAUACUGCAGGGCUAGAGUCCGGAAGAGGCGAGUGGAAUUCCUGGUGUAGCGGUGGAAUGCGCAGAUAUCAGGAGGAACACCAAUAGCGAAGGCAGCUCGCUGGGACGUUACUGACACUGAGGCGCGAAAGCGUGGGGAGCGAACAGG
rnacentral:rRNA from 1 species